AACGAACGCUGGCGGCAGGCCUAACACAUGCAAGUCGAACGCCCUAGCAAUAGGGAGUGGCAGACGGGUGAGUAACACGUGGGAACCUUCCCUAUAGUAUGGAAUAGCCCAGGGAAACUUGGAGUAAUACCGUAUACGCCCGAGAGGGGAAAGAUUUAUCGCUAUAGGAUGGGCCCGCGUAGGAUUAGCUAGUUGGUGAGGUAAUGGCUCACCAAGGCGACGAUCCUUAGCUGGUCUGAGAGGACGACCAGCCACACUGGGACUGAGACACGGCCCAGACUCCUACGGGAGGCAGCAGUGGGGAAUAUUGGACAAUGGGCGCAAGCCUGAUCCAGCCAUGCCGCGUGAGUGAUGAAGGCCUUAGGGUUGUAAAGCUCUUUUGCCGGGGACGAUAAUGACGGUACCCGGAGAAUAAGUCCCGGCUAACUUCGUGCCAGCGGCCGCGGUAAAACGUAGCGUG
rnacentral:rRNA from 1 species